rnacentral:rRNA from 1 species
CAAAAACAUCUCUUAAAAUAAUUUUAAGUCUUCUCUGCUCAAUGAAUUUUUAAUAGCCGCAGUAUUUUGACUGUGCUAAGGUAGCAUAAUAAUUUGUCUUAUAAUUGAAGACUAGAAUAAAUGAGCAAACACCAAAAUAUCUUUUUUAUCUUUUUAUUAAAAAUUAAUUUAUUUGUUAAAAAGCAAAACUUUUUAAAGGGACGAUAAGACCCUAUAAAACUUUACUUUAAAAAUUAUUAAUAAGACACAAAACUUUUAAGAGUUAAGCUGGGGCGGCAUUUAAUAUUCUUUAAUAAAAUUAACAAUAUUACUGAAAUAGAAAGAACUUUUUUUUAAAAAAAAAGUUAAAUCAAGUUACUUUAGGGAUAACAGCACAAUUUCUUCUUAAAGACCUUAUUAAAGAAGAAGACUUGUGACCUCGAUGUUGAAUUGAAGAGCUUAUUUUAAGCAAAAAUAAAAUAAAGAAGUCUGUUCGACUUUUAAUCCUUCACGUGAUCUG